GAUGAACGCUAGCGGCAGGCCUAAUACAUGCAAGUCGAACGGUGUAGCAAUACACAGUGGCGCACGGGUGCGUAACACGUAUGCAACCUACCUUACAUUGGGGGAUAGCCUUUCGAAAGGGAGAUUAAUACCGCAUAAGACAGUAACUAGGCAUCUAGUAGCUGUUAAAGAUUUAUCGAUGUAAGCUGGGCAUGCGUCCAAUUAGUUAGUUGGCGAGGUAAUGGCUCACCAAGACGAUGAUUGGUAGGGGAACUGAGAGGUCAAUCCCCCACACUGGCACUGAGAUACGGGCCAGACUCCUACGGGAGGCAGCAGUAGGGAAUAUUGGGCAAUGGGCGCAAGCCUGACCCAGCCAUGCCGCGUGCAGGAAGAAGGCGUUAUGCGUUGUAAACUGCUUUUAUACAGGAAGAAACGACCCUUGCGAGGGGCAUUGACGGUACUGUAUGAAUAAGCACCGGCUAACUCCGUGCCAGCCGCCGCGGUAA
rnacentral:rRNA from 1 species